AAGUAUACUCUAAAAUCAAUGGUGUUAACUGUUAAUCAAGUCUCAAGUAUAUCAAAUAUGAGUAAGGAAUGGAUUCGCCUCUUGCUAGUAAAAUCAGGUACCUACAUAUCUACCUAAAUGUUUUUACUGUCGUUUGUAGGUACAUAAUACAAUACAGUAUUGUAUUCAUUUAGUUGACAAUGGUACGUUGUCAAAAAUGGUGCAAUGAGAAGAAGUAAUACUAAGGAUGGCUUUGGCAGGAAAGUAAGGUAAUUAUUUUAAUUUUAUUUUGUAUAUAAUAGUAUAAGAUCAUUAAUUUUAUUUGUUUAGUUGACAAUAGUACAUUAUCAAAAACAGUACAUAUCGUCAUCAUUAAAAUUAAAUAAAUACAAAAAGAUAUAAGAAGGUAUGUAAUUUUCAAUGAUCUUUUUUAACAUUUGUCAAAUGUGUUUUUAUAUUUAAUUUUAUCCAUUGUGUUUAUUGUGUAUUGUGUUCUUUAAAUUUUUAGCUUUCGAAUAGUGAAAUGUACAGCAAUGAACAUGAAUUAGGAUAUCUUAAUUUGACAAAGAGCAUUUUGAGUUUAUGUAGUAUUAUAUAAGAAAUGGCUACACAAGAUUAUUGCAAGAUGUAAAUAACUAAAAUGCCAAAGUGAAUUUGAAAUUUAUAAAAUGAAUGCUGGAAGAACCAGAACAGAAAACCUAGGAAAAAAAUAAAAUAAAAUUUAAUAAGGUAAAUCAGCUACAUAACUAUUUUGUAAAAGAAAAUAUUCUGGAGGGCAGGAUGAUGUGUUUUUUUUUUUUUGAAAUGAUACAUUUUAAAACAAUAAAUCAGUUUUUAUUUCUAAAUGAUGAAUUGA